AAUAAGUGCAGCCAUAAUUUUCCGCGCCCAACUUUAACUAUUCGUCUUAUUUAAUUUUUUUUAAAAAAAUUAAAAACAUAAGUCACGAGUAAAGCACUAUUCAUGUUUUAUCAUCUCAUAACAACAAAAAUACUAAUUAUAAAAAAAUUUUAAAUAAGAUGGACGAUUAAAAUUGAACGCAAAAAUUUAUGGCUGCACUUAUU
rnacentral:pre_miRNA from 1 species